rnacentral:rRNA from 1 species
UACGUAGGUGGCAAGCGUUGUCCGGAUUUAUUGGGUUUAAAGGGUGCGUAGGCGGCCCAGUAAGUCAGUGGUGAAAUGCUCUAGCUUAACUAGAGGGGUGCCAUUGAUACUGCAGGGCUUGAGUACAGACGAGGUAGGCGGAAUUGACGGUGUAGCGGUGAAAUGCAUAGAUAUCGUCAAGAACUCCGAUAGUGAAGACAGCUUACUAGGCUGUAACUGACGCUGAGGCACGAAAGUGUGGGGAUCAAACAGG